rnacentral:rRNA from 1 species
AACGCGAAGAACCUUACCUGGCCUUGACAUGCAAGUGGUAGAACCAUGAAAGUGGGACGACCCCGCAAGGGGGUCCAGUCGAGGUGCUGCAUGGCUGUCGUCAGCUCGUGUCGUGAGAUGUUGGGUUAAGUCCCGCAACGAGCGCAACCCUUGUCCCUGUGUUGCCAUCAUUCAGUUGGGAACUCGCAGGAGACCGCCAGGGAUAACCUGGAGGAAGGUGGGGAUGACGUCAAGUCCUCAUGGCCUUUAUGUCCAGGGCUACACACGUGCUACAAUGGCCGGUACAAACCGCAGCAAACCCGCGAGGGGGAGCCAAUCGGAAAAAACCGGUCUCAGUUCGGAUUGCAGGCUGCAACUCGCCUGCAUGAAGCUGGAAUCGCUAGUAAUGGCAGAUCAGCACGCUGCCGUGAAUACGUUCCCGGGCCUUGUACACACCGACAUA